rnacentral:rRNA from 1 species
GAUGAACGCUGGCGGCGUGCCUAACACAUGCAAGUCGAGCGAUUUACUUCGGUAAAGAGCGGCGGACGGGUGAGUAACGCGUGGGUAACCUGCCCUGUACACACGGAUAACAUACCGAAAGGUAUGCUAAUACGAGAUAAUAUGCUUUUAUCGCAUGGUAGAAGUAUCAAAGCUUUUGCGGUACAGGAUGGACCGCGUCUGAUUAGCUAGUUGGUGAGGUAACGGCUCACCAAGGCGACGAUCAGUAGCCGACCUGAGAGGGUGAUCGGCCACAUUGGAACUGAGACACAGUCCAAACUCCUACGGGAGGCAGCAGUGGGGAAUAUUGCACAAUGGGCGAAAGCCUGAUGCAGCAACGCCGCGUGAGCGAUGAAGGCCUUC